UACGAAGGGGGCUAGCGUUGCUCGGAUUGACUGGGCGUAAAGGGCGCGUAGGCGGAUAGUACAGUCAGGCGUGAAAUUCCUGGGCUCAACCUGGGGGCUGCGUUUGAUACGUGUUGUCUGGAGUUCGGAAGAGGGUCGUGGAAUUCCCAGUGUAGAGGUGAAAUUCGUAGAUAUUCGGAAGAACACCAGUGGCGAAGGCGACACACUGGCUCACUACUGACGCUGAGGCGCGAAAGCGUGGGGAGCAAACAGG
rnacentral:rRNA from 1 species